AUGAUCUUACCGAGACUGAACAUGGCCAUCCCAAGACCUGCAUUCGACAAGAUCGUGACAGAAUUUUCCAUGAUUUGAGGCUUCUUAACACCCCAUCUACAGUAAGAAAGAUCCCAGCUCAAACCCAACAAGCUUGCAUAUGAAUUCGAGUUCUUGACAAGCUUAUACCAAACUAUAUUCAGAAUUUGCCUCAUCAUCUUCGAUGAAACCGAGAUGGAUUCUCCUUUGGCUUUCGGCCUUCUAUUUCCACAUUGCUUUCUGCCUUUUCUGCAGCAGUAUCUUCUUCUCUGCUGCAUACUUGCAUUGACUGCUCAUAAAAUCCUGUAAUUCCAAACACCCAUUUUAAAAUACAUGGGAAGAGAGUGAAAGAAUGCAUGGCAACUCAAAUCACUCUCCACAAAAACAUGUAAUUCCAGACACCUAUGUCCAAAUUCGUGAAGAAAGAGCAAAAGAAGAGAUCGAAAUUUAAAUCCCCCUCUAGAAGAACCUGUAAUUCCAAGCUUCCAUCUUUGUUUUCGUGCAAAAAGAGUAAAAGAACAUAUUGAAACUGAACUCUGUUUCCAUAAAAGCACGUAAUCCUAAACACCCAUUUUCAAAUUCACAUGGAAAGAGCAACACAUCUAAAAUUCAAAUCUCUGUUGGAAGAAAGAAAA